CAUGGGAUAGGAUAUAAUAUUUCCCGAUAGAUACGGACAGAGGCAAUGCGCUGCAAAGGCCCGUGGGGUCAGGCGCAAAGCUGAACAAGAGAACGGGGACGAGCCCCACGUUGACCAACACCGUGUGCAUCGAGGUGUCUAUCCCGCCGACGAAAGUCAGCCAUUGGAAGCGUGCUUCUGAGAAGGCAGGGGAGAUCGCCGCUUGAGAUGCGAGCCGGGAGACCUACUGUUGCCGUUAGAAUGAU
rnacentral:ncRNA from 2 species